AUCAACCCAUAAUUUAUCUCCGAUGAAGCUUGCGUCAAAGAUAGCGUCGAAGUUUCUAAGAUCUUCAGUUCUGAUAUGAGAUUUUUCAAUUCCUAUCUUAGAGUUUCAAACAGAUCUUGUAAAGCUUCAAUAAUCGAUCUCCAUAUUCAUCAUCUUCUUCUUCUUUUUCGAGAACAGCGAAGACGGGGCGGUAAAGGCGACAACGACGGCGACGAUCUCUUCUUCACUAGUCUUCCAUCAGAUCUAUAAUUCUCACCUCUAGGAAGAGGAACAACGAUAGAGAUGAAGGGGAGACGCAGAGGAAAGGAGUGAGAGAUGUGGCAACAGAGAUUGGAGCAUUUGCUGUGAGAGCUAUGGUUAUGGGUGGAGGAGAAGAACUUUUGUAAGGAGAUGUAUCCGAAUUUCAUAGAAUCCUUAAUUAAUUUUCAUAUAAUCUUUCAUAAAGUCCGAUAACAGUUAAAAUAAAGUGCUAACAGUAACAUGUGACAUUAUUAUUAUGCAGAAACAUCAUGCAAGUACCAAAAGAA